rnacentral:rRNA from 1 species
ACACUCCUGCGGGAGGCAGCAGUGGGGAAUUUUGGACAAUGGGCGAAAGCCUGAUCCAGCAAUGCCGCGUGAGUGAAGAAGGCCUUCGGGUUGUAAAGCUCUUUUGUCAGGGAAGAAACGGUGAGAGCUAAUAUCUCUUGCUAAUGACGGUACCUGAAGAAUAAGCACCGGCUAACUACGUGCCAGCAGCCGCGGUAAUACGUAGGGUGCAAGCGUUAAUCGGAAUUACUGGGCGUAAAGCGUGCGCAGGCGGUUUUGUAAGUCUGAUGUGAAAUCCCCGGGCUCAACCUGGGAAUUGCAUUGGAGACUGCAAGGCUAGAAUCUGGCAGAGGGGGGUAGAAUUCCACGUGUAGCAGUGAAAUGCGUAGAUAUGUGGAGGAACACCGAUGGCGAAGGCAGCCCCCUGGGUCAAGAUUGACGCUCAUGCACGAAAGCGUGGGGAGCAAACAGGAUUAGAUACCCCGGUAGUCC